rnacentral:rRNA from 1 species
AGCCCACUAGCUAGCUUGCACCCUAAAACACAACAAUUCACUAUACCUACCCCCUGACUAGGACCUACACACGACAUAGGCCAAACCAUUUUUCCCCCUUAGUAUGGGAGACAGAAAAGGACACACGAAGCAACAACACCAGUACCGUAAGGGAACGCUGAAAGAGAAAUGAAACAAAUCAGUAAAGCGCAAAAAAGCAGAGCCUAGCCCUCGUACCUUUUGCAUCAUGAUUUAGCAAGAAAACAUCAAGCAAAAAGAAUUUUAGUUUGACACCCCGAAACCAAGGGAGCUACUCCGAGACAGCCUCUGAGGGCACACCCGUCUCUGUGGCAAAAGAGUGGGAAGAUCUUUGAGUAGAGGUGACAGACCUACCGAACUUGGUUAUAGCUGGUUGCUCAGGAAAUGAAUAGGAGUUCAGCCUUUUGUCUUCUUUCCACACAACACAGCUAUGCCCACAAGCGCCUGAGAAUUGACAAAAGAGUUAGUCAGAGGGGGUACAGCCCCUUUGAAGAAGAGACAACUUUACUAGAAGGGUUAAGAUCAUAACACUUUUUAAGGGAACGUGUUCUAGUUGGCCUAAGAGCAGCCACCCAUACAGAAAGCGUUAAAGCUCAGACAUUUUCCGCCCCUAUUAUUUAGACUACCCCCAUCUUACCCCCCUAACCACACUGAGCCUUCCCAUACCCCUAUGGGAGAGAUUAUGCUAAUAUGAGUAAUAAGAGAUUUUGCAUCUCUCCUCGCACAAGUGUAAAUCGGAACGAACCAACACCGAAAAUUAACGACCCCAAAAAGAGGGCACCGAAACAUCAUGGCCAGGCCACUAGAAAACCAUUCACCUUGCCAAACCGUUAACCUUACACUAGAGUGCAUUCAAGGAAAGACUAAAAGAGAAAGAAGGAACUCGGCA